CAGCAGCCACGGUAAUACGAAGGGGGCUAGCGUUGUUCGGAUUUACUGGGCGUAAAGGGCGCGUAGGCGGACUGAUAAGUCAGGGGUGAAAUCCCAAGGCUCAACCUUGGAACUGCCCUUGAUACUGUUUGUCUUGAGUUCGAGAGAGGUAAGUGGAACUGCGAGUGUAGAGGUGAAAUUCGUAGAUAUUCGCAAGAACACCAGUGGCGAAGGCGGCUUACUGGCUCGAAACUGACGCUGAGGCGCGAAAGCGUGGGGAGCAAACAGGAUUAGAUACCCGUGUAGUCCCUGUCUCUUAUAC
rnacentral:rRNA from 1 species